GGCCCGCACAAGCGGUGGAGCAUGUGGUUUAAUUCGAAGCAACGCGAAGAACCUUACCAGGUCUUGACAUCCUUUGACCACUCUAGAGAUAGAGCUUCCCCUUCGGGGGCAAAGUGACAGGUGGUGCAUGGUUGUCGUCAGCUCGUGUCGUGAGAUGUUGGGUUAAGUCCCGCAACGAGCGCAACCCUUAUUGUUAGUUGCCAUCAUUCAGUUGGGCACUCUAGCAAGACUGCCGGUGACAAACCGGAGGAAGGUGGGGAUGACGUCAAAUCAUCAUGCCCCUUAUGACCUGGGCUACACACGUGCUACAAUGGGAAGUACAACGAGUCGCGAAGUCGCGAGGCUAAGCUAAUCUCUUAAAGCUUCUCUCAGUUCGGAUUGCAGGCUGCAACUCGCCUGCAUGAAG
rnacentral:rRNA from 1 species